UACGUAGGGGGCUAGCGUUGUCCGGAAUCAUUGGGCGUAAAGCGCACGUAGGCGGUCGGCUAUGUCGGAUGUGAAAGCCUCGGGCUUAACCCGAGAAGGGCAUCCGAAACUGGCCGGCUUGAGUACGGAAGAGGGUCUCGGAAUUCCCGGUGUAGAGGUGAAAUUCGUAGAUAUCGGGAGGAACACCAGUGGCGAAGGCGGAGACCUGGGCCGAUACUGACGCUGAGGUGCGAAAGCGUGGGGAGCAAACAGG
rnacentral:rRNA from 1 species